GACAGGAUUCACACCCUUAUGGAGGAGGAUCCAGAGCAGUUCCCGGCCCCCUUGGGCGGGACACUGUGAGGACACUGAAGGGUGUGGCCAGCUAUGAGCCAGGAAGCAGCCCUCACCCUGUGGGGAAUCUGGAAUCCGCCCAGGCCUUGACCUUGGACUUCCCAGUCUCCAGAGCUGUGAGAGAUACAUUUCUGCUGCGCAGUCUGUAGUAAUUUGUUAGAAAGACCUGAAGGGACAAGAGCCUACUGUCUGCGGGGCCCUUGACUAAGGCUCAGGGUGACCCCACGGGGAGCACAGCUCACGGGUGACAGCCCCACCAGCCCCUCCUGGGGAACGGAGGAGCUCACGCUUUCUGCCUUCACUUACUCAGCCAAGUUUUACGGAGCGCCAAGCAUGUGCCAGGCACUGACCCAGGCUCAGGUGACAGAGCCGAAAAGCAGGCAGAUCGUAAGAUCUUACGCCCUGCUUUCCCACCAAGUGACAUUCCAGCGGGCUGUGGGGGCAGGAAGUAGACCAUCUGGGAAGAGGGAACAGCAGGUGCCAAGGCCCUGAGGCAGGCAGGUGUCUGGCAUGUUGGAAGCAGCUGGAGGCCGGUGUCCAGGUGCAGAGUGAAUGAAGAUAAGCAUAAUCAGAGGUGGUGGCAGAGAAGGUCCCCGACACUGGAUCACACGGGCCUUGGGGCCAUCCCAAGGGUCUGACUUUUUCUGAAAGGAAUGGGGAAUCCAUUGCAGGGAAUAGAAACCAUCCCACUUAGGUUUCGGAUCCCAGCUGCCACUGCGUUGAGAACACUCUGUGGGCGAGGGGUGGGGGACCAGUUAGCAGGCAGCUGCCAGGGUCCUGAGGAGUAAGGAUGCUGCACAGACCAGGGGUGGCGGUAGCACCGUUCCCAUUCCCACCACAGUGUGAAGACCCAGGCCCACCGUGCCCUCUCCCUUUUGGCUCAAAUCCCAAAUGAUUUGAUGACAGAACAGAAAUUUCCAAAUCAGAACAUUCGUAUUGAACGUCCUGGAACGUCCUGGAUGUGCGGCAGCUGACCCGUGGCAGCCGUUCACACAGUCGCUCAACAAACAUUUGUGGAGAGCCCAAUCAGGCCAAGGAGCUCCAUCCCUGUCUGUUGUGGAAACAUACAAGUCAGGAGAUGUGUUCUGCUUCACUCUGGGCAGUGGACUGGUCCUGAGGAUAAAGGGACAGAGCUGGGGACAAGCUUAAUCCUUGCCCCUAGGAUGUGAAUAGUAGAAUCAUCGCAGGGAGUUUCUGUUGCCAUGUCAAGAUACCCAGGUUCCAAUCUCAUGAUCUUAGAGACAGCUGGGGGACCCGCAGUCCCUGAGGCCCCUCUAACGCCAAACAGAUGGGUCCAGCCCUUGACCCAGGGUGAACACUCUGGCAUUCUGGAACAUUCUGCCUCGUGCCCUUUGCCUGUAGCAUCCGUCCCUGGGAGAAGGCUCCUCUGGGAGUAUCUGGAUGUGGAAAGGCCUCUGUUCCCCAAAGAGUUAAUGAGCCCCUCAAACUGCCUGCUCCCUUAUGGGUGGAUGUCCCUGAGGCUGCAGAAACAGAAAACCUCUGGUGUCCCUUAGACCUGCGAUUUCACGUCCGUGCCUGUGGGCAAUGAAGUCGAAUGUCACAGAUGAUUUUCUAGGUGAUGAAAGGGCCAUGUUUUCCAAAAUAAAGAAGUGGGGUUCACGGCGGGGGCAGGGAGGCUGGAGGAAC
rnacentral:lncRNA from 1 species